AUGACAAAUGCGUUGCUGCAGAUUUCCGACUCCCUUCUCAUUUGACUGAAGGAUUUGUCACGGAAAAGCGAGCACAGAAUAAGUCGGAAUAUCAUCAAGUAUGGUAUUUGUGCCCAUUAGAAAAUUAAGCAAUGAAAAUAGCGAGGAAAUUCUGACAAAUCAGCAUGCACGCGACUAACCGCGAGCGACACAGACAUGAUUACAUCAACCGGAAGUUUAUUUUGGCAACCUUGUAACCCCAUGUCCCUCGCCUUCUGCAUAAACAAACUACGCUUCAUGUACCAGGGAGAAAGUAAUCCACCAGGCUCGUCCAAAUGGCUUAUACUACAGGACUUAAAAUGCAAAAACAAGGCGAGAGGCCUAGAACUAUCUUAUGAAAUUGGUCUUACGGUUGAGGCUUACGCGACGCGUGUUCGUGUUGCUUGCACAAUCAUGAGCCUUUCGCGAGCCUGCUCAUUUGUCAGAUUUCUCUUUGCUUCAUUUUCCAAUGCAUACAAAAACAAUAUUUGGUGAUAUUCAAGCUUAUUCUGUGCUCGAUUUUCCAUCAACAAAAUCUCCACUAAACAGUCAAAGGAGAACACGAGAGUUGGAAAUCUACAACGCGUCCGCCAUCUUGGAAGUUUGAGCUACAACAGUUCAAGAGAGAAAAAUAUGAACCCUGUAGAUGGACUGCCUGGUUUACCAUCAGACUUCUUUGAUAGUCCCUCAAAUUCUCAGCCAGAUGCUAAAAAGAUUAUACCCAGGUAUGUAGUAAUUACAUUACCUUGACCCACAACCUAACAACACUCCACAUCAGCUCAAUACAUGUAUUGUACCUCACACUGUACAUGCAUCUUUCUUCUGCAGUUCAAAUAUAUGAUAAUUUUAUUUUCUUCAAACAUUUACAGUACUCUUGCACUGAAGGGCUAUCCUAUAUAAAUAUUUGUUGUUAU